rnacentral:lncRNA from 1 species
AUCUCUACCGGUAAAGGAACACAGCCACGGCUUGCCAGGGAAGGGACCAGAGAAGCAAAUAUCCCGACCUUUCUCAGCAACCAUCUCCCCAUCCCAUACGAGUGCCUGCCAUCGGGUGAUCUAACUGCAAGCAAAAGGCAGCAGGGAAUAUUUGAAGAUUUCUGUGGCCAGUCUCCUAGGAAUGUGAGCACUGUGAGGAAAGCUGGAACAUGGAUCUGGAGGGACAAACGGAGAACGUCCAGGACAGGAAGAGUAGUGGGAAACGAGUCAGAGAGAGAGCAAAUGUGCGCUGAGUGCCUCUCCAUGGAAGCCUGAGGGGAACCCAGCAGGGCGCAGAGCAAGCAACAUCCCUGCCCUCUACUGGCUGGAUGAGGGAGGACGGUGAGAUGCGGUGCCAUCCGUGCAUCUGGACAUUGCAAGGUGAGGAAGAGAAAGAGGUGCCCAGGAUAGCAGAAUGUGCCUACCACCCACAACAGAGAUAAAAUCUCAGUUCCAGCCAAGAAGUGUACACAGAAA